rnacentral:rRNA from 1 species
GGCGGCGUGCUUAACACAUGCAAGUCGAACGGAAAGGCCCUGCUUUUGUGGGGUGCUCGAGUGGCGAACGGGUGAGUAACACGUGAGUAACCUGCCCUUGACUUUGGGAUAACUUCAGGAAACUGGGGCUAAUACCGGAUAGGAGCUCCUGCUGCAUGGUGGGGGUUGGAAAGUUUCGGCGGUUGGGGAUGGACUCGCGGCUUAUCAGCUUGUUGGUGGGGUAGUGGCUUACCAAGGCUUUGACGGGUAGCCGGCCUGAGAGGGUGACCGGCCACAUUGGGACUGAGAUACGGCCCAGACUCCUACGGGAGGCAGCAGUGGGGAAUAUUGCACAAUGGGCGGAAGCCUGAUGCAGCAACGCCGCGUGCGGGAUGACGGCCUUCGGGUUGUAAACCGCUUUCGCCUGUGACGAAGCGUGAGUGACGGUAAUGGGUAAAGAAGCACCGGCUAACUACGUGCCAGCAGCCGCGGUGAUACGUAGGGUGCGAGCGUUGUCCGGGUUUAUUGGGCGUAAAGGGCUCGUAGGUGGUUGAUCGCGUCGGAAGUGUAAUCUUGGGGCUUAACCCUGAGCGUGCUUUCGAUACGGGUUGACUUGAGGAAGGUAGGGGAGAAUGGAAUUCCUGGUGGAGCGGUGGAAUGCGCAGAUAUCAGGAGGAACACCAGUGGCGAAGGCGGUUUCUCUGGGCCUUUCCUGACGCUGAGGAGCGAAAGCGUGGGGAGCGAACAGGCUUAGAUACCCUGGUAGUCCACGCUGUAAACGGUGGGUACUAGGUGUGGGGUCCAUUCCACGGGUUCCGUGCCGUAGCUAACGCUUUAAGUACCCCGCCUGGGGAGUACGGCCGCAAGGCUAAAACUUAAAGGAAUUGACGGGGCCCCGCACAAGCGGCGGAGCAUGCGGAUUAAUUCGAUGCAACGCGUAGAACCUUACCUGGGUUUGACAUGGAUCGGGAGUGCUCAGAGAUGGGUGUGCCUCUUUUGGGGUCGGUUCACAGGUGGUGCAUGGCUGUCGUCAGCUCGUGUCGUGAGAUGUUGGGUUAAGUCCCGCAACGAGCGCAACCCUUGUUCACUGUUGCCAGCACGUUAUGGUGGGGACUCAGUGGAGACCGCCGGGGUCAACUCGGAGGAAGGUGGGGAUGACGUCAAGUCAUCAUGCCCCUUAUGUCCAGGGCUUCACGCAUGCUACAAUGGCUGGUACAGAGAGUGGCGAGCCUGUGAGGGUGAGCGAAUCUCGGAAAGCCGGUCUCAGUUCGGAUUGGGGUCUGCAACUCGACCUCAUGAAGUCGGAGUCGCUAGUAAUCGCAGAUCAGCAACGCUGCGGUGAAUACGUUCCCGGGGCUUGUACACACCGCCCGUCAAGUCAUGAAAGUUGGUAACACCCGAAGCCGGUGGCCUAACCGUUGUGGGGGAGCCGUCGAAGGUGGGACUGGUGAUUAGGACUAAGUCA